GACGAACGCUGGCGGCGUGCCUAAUACAUGCAAGUAGAACGCUGAAGGAGGAGCUUGCUUCUCUGGAUGAGUUGCGAACGGGUGAGUAACGCGUAGGUAACCUGCCUGGUAGCGGGGGAUAACUAUUGGAAACGAUAGCUAAUACCGCAUAAUAGUAGAUGUCGCAUGACAUUUGCUUAAAAGGUGCAAUUGCAUCACUACCAGAUGGACCUGCGUUGUAUUAGCUAGUUGGUGAGGUAACGGCUCACCAAGGCAACGAUACAUAGCCGACCUGAGAGGGGGAUCGGCCCCACUGGGACUUAGCCACGGCCCAGACUCCUGCGGGAGGCAGCCGUAGGGAAUCUUCGGCCAUGGACGGAAGUCUGACCGAGCAACGCCGCGUGAGUGCAGAAGGGUUUCGGAUCGUAAAGCUCUGUUGUAGGUGAAGAACGAGUGUGAGAGUUGAAAGUUCACACUGUGACGGUAUCUUACCAGAAAGGGACGGCUAACUACGUG
rnacentral:rRNA from 1 species